CAGUCGCCGCGGUAACACGAAGGGGGCUAGCGUUGUUCGGAUUUACUGGGCGUAAAGCGCACGUAGGCGGAUCGAUCAGUCAGGGGUGAAAUCCCAGAGCUCAACUCUGGAACUGCCUUUGAUACUGUCGAUCUGGAGUAUGGAAGAGGUGAGUGGAAUUCCGAGUGUAGAGGUGAAAUUCGUAGAUAUUCGGAGGAACACCAGUGGCGAAGGCGGCUCACUGGUCCAUUACUGACGCUGAGGUGCGAAAGCGUGGGGAGCAAACAGGAUUAGAUACCCGUGUAGUCCCUGUCUCUUAUAC
rnacentral:rRNA from 1 species